rnacentral:lncRNA from 1 species
GCUUUUCAAGUACAUGAGGGUGUGUGUGAGUGUGAGUGUGAGUGUGUGUGUGUUUUGGGGGGAAGCCAGAGGACAGAUUCCCCAUAACCUCUACCUCCACCAAGAAAACCUAGGAUCCGCAGGCCUUGAUGCUUCUACGAUGUCAUUGUUAGAGCCAACGCAUGCCCAUGUAACUGAUGGAAAUGCUUUGAUGCCACAUUAAUAUCUAUCUGCAUAACUAUCAGGGUAACUUCAUUUAUUAUUUGAAUAUCUUUGCUGUCACCUAGUUAAAAAUAACUGUUUACUUUUCUUUUUGAAAAAUAUUAUUCUAAGGUUGCAAUUGCAUUGUUUUCACACAAGUGAGAGGCCCUCUGCAAUUACUUAUCAAUUAAAAUACUCUUUAUCAAUUAGCAGGUUUACUUUACUUUCAGGACCAUGUUAGGUACCAGCAGUGCGGGGAAGAGGGAAAGAUACAUAGCAGGGUUUCUACAGUCUUAAGAGAAACACAUUUCACAAUGUAA